GUUGGGUAGGGGAGCGUUCUGUAAGCCUGUGAAGGUGGCCUGUGAGGGUUGCUGGAGGUAUCAGAAGUGCGAAUGCUGACAUAAGUAACGAUAAAGCGGGUGAAAAGCCCGCUCGCCGGAAGACCAAGGGUUCCUGUCCAACGUUAAUCGGGGCAGGGUGAGUCGACCCCUAAGGCGAGGCCGAAAGGCGUAGUCGAUGGGAAACGGGUUAAUAUUCCCGUACUUGGUGUUACUGCGAAGGGGGGACGGAGAAGGCUAUGUUGGCCGGGCGACGGUUGUCCCGGUUUAAGCGUGUAGGUGUGUGUUCCAGGUAAAUCCGGUUCACUUUAACACUGAGGCGUGACGACGAGGCACUACGGUGCUGAAGCAACAAAUGCCCUGCUUCCAGGAAAAGCCUCUAAGCAUCAGGUAACAUCAAAUCGUACCCCAAACCGACACAGGUGGUCAGGUAGAGAAUACCAAGGCGCUUGAGAGAACUCGGGUGAAGGAACUAGGCAAAAUGGUGCCGUAACUUCGGGAGAAGGCACGCUGACACGUAGGUGAAGUGAUUUACUCAUGGAGCUGAAGUCAGUCGAAGAUACCAGCUGGCUGCAACUGUUUAUUAAAAACACAGCACUGUGCAAACACGAAAGUGGACGUAUACGGUGUGACGCCUGCCCGGUGCCGGAAGGUUAAUUGAUGGGGUCAGCGCAAGCGAAGCUCCUGAUCGAAGCCCCGGUAAACGGCGGCCGUAACUAUAACGGUCCUAAGGUAGCGAAAUUCCUUGUCGGGUAAGUUCCGACCUGCACGAAUGGCGUAAUGAUGGCCAGGCUGUCUCCACCCGAGACUCAGUGAAAUUGAACUCGCUGUGAAGAUGCAGUGUACCCGCGGCAAGACGGAAAGACCCCGUGAACCUUUACUAUAGCUUGACACUGAACAUUGAGCCUUGAUGUGUAGGAUAGGUGGGAGGCUUUGAAGCGUGGACGCCAGUCUGCGUGGAGCCAACCUUGAAAUACCACCCUUUAAUGUUUGAUGUUCUAACGUGGACCCGUAAUCCGGGUUGCGGACAGUGUCUGGUGGGUAGUUUGACUGGGGCGGUCUCCUCCUAAAGAGUAACGGAGGAGCACGAAG
rnacentral:rRNA from 1 species